rnacentral:lncRNA from 1 species
GGGUCAUACAUUUGGUAAGAAUCAAUGCCGGUUCAUUAUGGACAGAUUAUACAACUUCAGCAACACCGGUUUACCUGAGUCGUAGUCACUUCUAUUUUCAUUAUACAUUCUCUGAUUAUGUUACACUGUUACCAGUUGAGAAAGAUUUAACCUAUGGUUAUAAUAACUAAUGAUUUGUCAAAUAAUAUUUUGAAAAUUUAAAAGGGUUGUGAUGCAUCGAUCUUGUUAGACAACACGACAUCAUUCCGAACAGAGAAAGAUGCAGCUGGAAAUGCAAACUCGGCUCGGGGAUUUCCUGUGAUUGAUAGAAUGAAAGCCGCAGUGGAGAGGGCAUGCCCGAGAACCGUUUCAUGCGCAGAUAUGCUCACCAUCGCAGCUCAACAAUCUGUCACUUUGGUAUGUUCCAUUGAUUCGUUUUCUUUUAUUCAUUAUUACAAAUACUGUUUUCAAUUAAGAAUAUCAACAAGAAAACCUGAUUUUGUUUUGAAAAAAUUGGUUGAGAACUAAAUAUUGAAAACGCGUGAUGACGUGACAUAUAAGAUUGGAAAACAGAAUUUGUAAAAUAAAUUAUAAUCUAUAUUUAGUAUCAAUUUUUCACAUGCGACUCAGACACAGUUUAUUUCUUUCUUUUUUUUUUUUGACACAGACACAGUUAUGCAAAACUAAUCGGAAAUAUUUAAAACGCGUGGUCCCGUGAAGAAAAACUUGGCAUGUUUAAUAUAGAUCAUUGACAAAAUUAAAUACCAUUACUUGACUAGAUAAGACCAGUUUUAUAGGUAACCCAUGAUAAUAGUUAUCAUACUUUUCAAGAAAUACUGGAGAUGAAAAACUUUGCUUUAAAUGUAUAGUCAAUGAAAUUAAUUACAUGUUUGUCUUUUUCCAUUUUCUCCUUAAAAAUUCCGAAUAAUAAGAAUAAUGAAUAAUCUCUGUAACAUUGGAACACAAUUCUCUGAAAACAAUAAUUAUUCUGGAUAUAAAGGUUUCUAUAUCAUAUUAUAUAGGCAGGAGGCCCUUCAUGGAGGGUUCCUUUGGGGAGAAGGGACAGCUUACAAGCGUUUCUGAAUCUAGCUAAUGCUAAUCUUCCAGCUCCAUUCUUCACACUUCCACAACUUAAAGCCAGCUUUAGAAACGUUGGCCUCGACCGUCCUUCUGAUCUCGUUGCUCUUUCCGGUAAUUGACAAAAACUUAUUAAAUACAUAUGGUUUAUAGUUGAAACUAGCGAGUUUAUUAUUAAUGUUAUGGUCUUUCUUUGGUUAGGGGGUCAUACAUUUGGUAAGAAUCAAUGCCGGUUCAUUAUGGACAGAUUAUACAACUUCAGCAACACCGGUUUACCUGAUCCUACCCUCAACACUACUUACCUCCAAACUCUUCGUGGACUAUGUCCACGUACCGGUAACCUAAGCGCCUUGGUGGAUUUUGAUCUGCGUACACCUACGGUUUUCGACAACAAAUACUAUGUGAAUCUAAGAGAACAG